AACGAACGCUGGCGGCAUGCCUAACACAUGCAAGUCGAACGAGACCUUCGGGUCUAGUGGCGCACGGGUGCGUAACGCGUUGGAACCUGCCCUUAGGUUCGGAAUAACUCAGAGAAAUUUGAGCUAAUACCGGCUAAUGUCUUCGGACCAAAGAUUUAUCGCCUUUGGAUGGGCCCGCGUAGGAUUAGCUUGUUGGUGGGGUAAUGGCCUACCAAGGCGACGAUCCUUAGCUGGUCUGAGAGGAUGAUCAGCCACACUGGGACUGAGACACGGCCCAGAAUCCUACGGGAGGCAGCAGUGGGGAAUAUUGGACAAUGGGCGAAAGCCUGAUCCAGCAAUGACGCGUGAGUGAUGAAGGCCUUAGGGUUGUAAAGCUAUUUUAACAGGGAUGAUAAUGACAGUACCUGGAGAAUAAGCUCCGGCUAACUCCGUG
rnacentral:rRNA from 1 species